AGGGGGAGCAAUUUGUAACAAUGAAAAUCAUCAAAUCAAAAAUUUCUAUCAAAUUUCAGAAUUUGGCACAUAUAAAUUCAGAAUUUGGCACGCACUUCUCGCACCCCGAUACAUAACCUGAAACUCAUAUUUUAUCUCAAAUUUUUUGAAGUUUCAUCGCUAAUGAAUUAUAAAUGAAAGGGGGAGCAAGUCAAAGAGUCAAAUUGGCAAUAUUUAAAUGAUAUAGGGGAAGAUUUCACUCUUAUAUAUGAAAAGCUGAAAUUCAGCAAUUUAAACCCUUUUAUAAACUGUUUUUAAAGACAAGUAUCAAUAGGCUUAUACUCUUUAUUUUGUAAUCAUCAAAAAGGGGGAGAUUGAGGAUGAUAGUGUUAUUUUGAU
rnacentral:lncRNA from 1 species